GUCUGCGCAGACCUUCACCAGAAACAUUAAAAAAAAUAGUUUCUUUGCUUGCUUUGCCCUCUCACUUCAAACCACCCAUUUUCCGACGAAGCUCCGGCCGGCAAGGGUUCCCUUUGGGUAGAGUCACACACAUACUUCAACUUUCUACAAGAAAAGAGUUGGAUUGAGAUUCAUGUGUGGUUCUUGAACCAAUUCAAGAGGAGGCUUGGAAUUCUUGAGUUGGUGGAACUAACAAGGUUCAAGGUUUGUGAAUUGGCGUGGAGUGUACGUUGCUUGUUGGUGAGAAUUUCGAGUCCACUUCGAGGUGAAACAGGAUCUAGUGUAUAGGCUGUGGAUCAGCAGGAGGACGCGUGACAGAGGUGGUCUGGACCUUUGUUUAUUCUUUUGUGUUUAUGUGGUACAUGUGUACGGUUAUAUACCUAUGGAUGUAUAUGUAUGACUUGUCGUUUACAUGCCACAGUUGUGUGAGUAGGUUAUAUUUGGAGUUAUGUUUACGUUUUGAAUGUGCAUUGUAUUUGGUUGGUCGGGAGUGGUGUUCUGUGACUACUGUGUGACUGAUGAUGAUGAUGAGAUGUGUAUGACUGUGGACCCUGAGGGUCGGUUGACUUUUGGAAGUGCUAGAAGCUAUUUUGUUAUUUGUAUGUUUGUU